UUGACCUAUUUUCUUUUGUAGCUUGUAGGUACCUAGGAGUUACCCAAUACCUAGACUUAUGCAGGAUGGGGUUCGACUUGAAACAACUUUCCCAAUUCUCGUGUUUUGCCUACCUUUCACCCCGAGGAGGGUUUAGGAUCCCGAGGAUGCCUAGUUCGUUAAAAGGGUGGAAGGAAAAUGGUUUUAUGUCGUGACUCAAGAUCUCGACCUACCUUUUAGUCCU
rnacentral:lncRNA from 1 species